UACGUAGGGUGCGAGCGUUAAUCGGAAUUACUGGGCGUAAAGCGUGCGCAGGCGGUUGAUGUAAGACCGAUGUGAAAUCCCCGGGCUUACCUGGGAACUGCAUUGGUGACUGCAUUGCUGGAGUAUGGCAGAGGGGGGUGGAAUUCCAGCGUGUAGCAGUGAAAUGCGUAGAGAUGUGGAGAACACCGAUGGCGAAGGCAGCCCCUCGGCCGAAUACUGACGCUCAUGCACGAAAGCGUGGGGAGCAAACAGGA
rnacentral:rRNA from 1 species